AUAGGAGGUCCCGCCUGCCCUGUGACCAAAAGUUUAACGGCCGCGGUAUUUUAACCGUGCAAAGGUAGCGCAAUCAAUUGUCUUUUAAAUGAAGACCUGUAUGAAUGGCAUAACGAGGGUUUAACUGUCUCUUUUUUCAGGUCAAUGAAACUGAUCUGUCCGUGCAGAAGCGGACAUAUUAACACAAGACGAGAAGACCCUAUGGAGCUUUAGACGCCCACCAACCGCGAAAAGCAGCCUACCUAAACAGAUGCCCUAAACAACGCGGUCCUGGUACAAACGUCUUCGGUUGGGGCGACCGCGGAGGAGAACAAAGCCUCCGAGAGGAAUGGGAACGAACCCUAAAACCAAGAGCCACAGCUCUAAGUCACAAAAAAUUUGACCGACAAUGAUCCGGCUUACUGCCGAUCAACGGACCAAGUUACCCUAGGGAUAACAGCGCAAUCCCCUCCCAGAGUCCAUAUCGACGAGGGGGUUUACGACCUCGAUGUUGGAUCAGGACAUCCUAAUGGUGCAGCCGCUAUUAAGGGUUCGUUUGUUCAACGAUUAAAGUCCUACGUGAUCUGAGU
rnacentral:rRNA from 1 species